rnacentral:rRNA from 1 species
AGAAUCAACGCUGGCGGCGUGCCUAACACAUGCAAGUCGAACGAGAAAGUGGAGCAAUCCAUGAGUAAAGUGGCGACCGGGUGAGUAACACGUGACUAACCUACCUUCGAGUGGGGGAUAACCUAGGGAAACCUGGGCUAAUACCGCAUAACAUCUUUGGAUCGGAAGAACUGAAGAUCAAAGGAGCAAUUCGCUUGAAGAGGGGGUCGCGGCUGAUUAGCUAGUUGGCGGGGUAAUGGCCCACCAAGGCUUUGAUCGGUAGCCGGCCUGAGAGGGCGCACGGCCACACUGGAACUGAAACACGGUCCAGACUCCUACGGGAGGCAGCAGUGGGAAAUUUUGCGCAAUGGGGGAAACCCUGACGCAGCAACGCCGCGUGGAGGAUGAAGUCCCUUGGGACGUAAACUCCUUUCGACCGGGACGAUUAUGACGGUACCGGUGGAAGAAGCCCGGCUAACUUCGCGCCAGCAGCCGC